GCCCCUGUGACGUAAUUGGAAACCGUCGCUCGCUCAGACCGAGUGUUUUACAGGUUCGAGUCCUGUCAGGGGUAUCA
rnacentral:tRNA from 1 species